rnacentral:rRNA from 1 species
UACGUAGGGUGCAAGCGUUGUCCGGAAUUAUUGGGCGUAAAGGGCUCGUAGGCGGUCCAUCGCGUCGGGAGUGAAAGCUGGGCUUAACCCCAGUCCUGCUUUCGAUACGGGUGGACUAGAGGUAGGCAGGGGAGAACGGAAUUCCUGGUGUAGCGGUGAAAUGCGCAGAUAUCAGGAGGAACACCGGUGGCGAAGGCGGUUCUCUGGGCCGUUACCUGACGCUG